rnacentral:rRNA from 1 species
GUAGGUGGCAAGCGUUGUCCGGAAUUAUUGGGCGUAAAGCGCGCGCAGGCGGUUCUUUAAGUCUGAUGUGAAAGCCCACGGCUCAACCGUGGAGGGUCAUUGGAAACUGGAGAACUUGAGUACAGAAGAGGAAAGCGGAAUUCCACGUGUAGCGGUGAAAUGCGUAGAGAUGUGGAGGAACACCAGUGGCGAAGGCGGCUUUCUGGUCUGUAACUGACGCUGAGGCGCGAAAGCGUGGGGAGCAAACAGGGAUUAGAUACCCUGGUAGUCCACGCCGUAAACGAUGAGUGCUAAGUGUAGGGGGGUUUCCGCCCCCUUAGUGCUGCAGCUAACGCAUUAAGCACUCCGCCUGGGGAGUACGGCCGCAAGGCUG